AACCCAUCCAGGCGCUGGUGGUGGAGGACGUGUGCUGACCCGCCAGGAGGAGGCCAAUCAGCAUCCCUGCGAUCUCGUUAUCAUUCAGGGGUCGUCCGUCUCUGAGGGGGACGCAAAGUCCUUUUAAGCAUGUUUCAGGGUGGCAUCGAUGAGGGUCUGCAGGAUGUCGUCCACUUUCUCUACAGACUGCCUGCGUUUCUGGAUCACCUUGAAGAAGAUGUUUUUGAUCUCUCUCAGGUCUGUGUGUCUUACCUGAAACUGGGCAAGGGCAGCCAGCCGGGCAGGAGCCAGGCAGCAUGACUGAAACCUCCGUCCAGGUCGGCGUAAAGCUGCGCCACUCGCUCAUCCAGCAUGCUGCGGAUCUCCUUCCCAUGAAGGCAGCUGCUGGCCGUCAGGAUGAUCAGCUCAGACAAAGCCUCAAACAGAAAGAUCUGCAGCAUUAUGAAGAAAGCACGCAUCAUACAGUGGCUGACUUCAUCCAACUGCAGUUGGACUCACGUUGUUCGGGACGUCGUAGGCUACUCCUUUGCCAAACACUGGAGUGGUCAGUCGGGAGUAGACGUCCUCGGCAUUCAGGUCCUCGUUCUUGCUGUUGAACAUCAGCGUGGCUGCUUCGCUGCCCAGCAGUUGCCAUAGAUGAUCUGCAGCAGGAGGCUGGCCAGUGUGAUCAGUUUGCUGUCCGGAGCAGGAAAGAAGCCCUUCAGGAGGCAGUGUCGGGCCUCAUCGAAAAGAAUGAGGAUGGCCAGAGGAUCCUCCACCUGGAACAAAACACACAAUAAGUGAGGAACCUUUUUCUCAAUUUCAAGAGGCAGCCGAACGUCCCUGCGGAGGAAGAGCUGAGGCGUUUCCCUCUGAGGAUCCAGCACCGUCAGGUCUGUCACUAUCUCCGUCCAGAUCCGCAGGUGCUGCAGAGGCUUGUGGUACGGCUUCAGCUGCAGGUCUGACACACAAAAUGAACACACCCUGUUAGCCACAGGUUGAAUUAGAGAGCAACUCCAGCACUUGUCCUACGAGUGAACUCACGGAGGUUCUCAGAGCAGAUCCAGAUGGUAAAGUACUGCUGGGUGUCCUGCGAAAGUCGCAUGCCUUCCAUGAUCUGCUGCACUGUUGUGUUAUUGCCAUGCUUUAGCUCCACAGAGCGAUAUGAGCCGUCCAUGCGGUAGAUGCGCACCUUCUCAUACUGUGGAACAUAGAAACACACAUGCAUACAAACCAUAAACAAGAAGACAAGAAGUGAAGCAGCUCAGUCCAUUUGUCAUGAAAGAGUAAAAUUUAUUUUAAAACUACAAUUCCCACCAUGUGAUUGUUGCAGGAAUUCUAGAGUUAGGGCUAAUAAUGUUUUUUGGAAGGUCAAUAAUGUUUUUUGGAAGGUGACCUCUGACCACCAACAAACAGGGACGGAUGGCUGACAACCCAAAAACAUAAUACCUCCAGCCAUGGUCACCCUCUGUGCUUAGGCAUAAUACUUGAGGAGAUAGCCCCAUCUAGUGAUCAGCGGAUUUAACUGUCACAAAAAUAUGUACUUGCAAAAUCA